UACGUAGGUGGCAAGCGUUGUCCGGAUUUACUGGGCGUAAAGAGCGCGCAGGCGGUCGGCCAAGUCGAGUGUGAAAGCCCCCGGCUCAACUGGGGGAGGGUCAUUCGAUACUGGUCGACUCGAAGGCAGGAGAGGGAAGCGGAAUUCCCGGUGUAGUGGUGAAAUGCGUGAGAUAUCGGGGAGGAACACCAGUGGCGAAGGCGGCUUCCUGGCCUGUUCUUGACGCUGAGGCGGCGAAAAGC
rnacentral:rRNA from 1 species